CCUACGGGCGGCAGCAGUGGGGAAUAUUGGACAAUGGGGGCAACCCUGAUCCAGCCAUGCCGCGUGUGUGAAGAAGGCCCUCGGGUUGUAAAGCACUGUCAGUGAGGAAGAACGCCUGGUGGUUAAUACCCAUCAGGAAAGACAUCACUCACAGAAGAAGCACCGGCUAACUCCGUGCCAGCAGCCGCGGUAAUACGGAGGGUGCGAGCGUUACCGGAAUUACUGGGCGUAAAGCGCGCGUAGGUGGCUUGAUAAGCCGGUUGUGAAAGCCCCGGGCUCAACCUGGGAACGGCAUCCGGAACUGUCAAGCUAGAGUGCAGGAGAGGAAGGUAGAAUUCCCGGUGUAGCGGUGAAAUGCGUAGAGAUCGGGAGGAAUACCAGUGGCGAAGGCGGCCUUCUGGACUGACACUGACACUGAGGUGCGAAAGCGUGGGUAGCAAACAGGAUUAGAUACCCCAGUAGUC
rnacentral:rRNA from 1 species